rnacentral:rRNA from 1 species
GACGAACGCUGGCGGCGUGCCUAAUACAUGCAAGUUGAGCGCUGAAGGUUGGUACUUGUACCAACUGGAUGAGCAGCGAACGGGUGAGUAACGCGUGGGGAAUCUGCCUUUGAGCGGGGGACAACAUUUGGAAACGAAUGCUAAUACCGCAUAAAAACUUUAAACACAAGUUUUAAGUUUGAAAGAUGCAAUUGCCUCACUCAAAGAUGAUCCCGCGUUGUAUUAGCUAGUUGGUGAGGUAAAGGCUCACCAAGGCGAUGAUACAUAGCCGACCUGAGAGGGUGAUCGGCCACAUUGGGACUGAGACACGGCCCAAACUCCUACGGGAGGCAGCAGGAGGGAAUCUUCGGCAAUGGACGAAAGUCUUACCGAGCAACGCCGCGUGAGGGAAGAAGGUUUUCGGAUCGUAAAACUCUGUUGGUAGAGAAGAACGUUGGUGAGAGUGGAAAGCUCAUCAAGUGACGGUAACUACCCAGAAAGGGACGGCUAACUACGUG